CAAUUAAAAAUGGAGAGAAGUUUUCCACUACUGGACUACCCUUCGAAUCUUCGGCCUAGCUGGACAUGGUAGCUACAAGUGAGUGUUUAUCAACACAGUCAACGACUGAUAAAGACGGAAAAUUUGAAAUCGGUGAUUGAAUUUCUUCAAACGAAAAAGGAAACGCUUUCAUUUGGGAAGAAAGAAGAGUGACUUUCCGAUACGUGUCAAAUAUAAGAAAAAAUUGUCAAUCAGUGCUUGAAAGUAUCCAAUGUAAGUGAAAAACAUGGGGAGCAAGGUACGGAUUCCCGGCGUGUCUCAAGCAUAAGCAAGGUUAUGUCCUGAUUACGAGGAUAAGCGAAUAAGGUGAAAGCGAAUCUCACGAAUCGAGAGUUUGUUGAAAUUCUGUCCGGAUUGCGGAACAAGUGGAUUGAGGCGACGACGGGUCUCACAAAUCAUCUGUCUGUUCAAAUUAGGUAUUUUUAUAAUUGCGCAUUGUUUCAGCUGGAAUAUUUUGAUAAUAUUGUUUUAGAGUCCUUUAUAUCUGUGAAGUCGGGAUGUCGUUUCAUUUAAUUAGCAGUCUUGUGUACUUGAAAGUGUUGAAUAAGGCGCAUUUGUCAUUGUUGGGCAAAGUCUUAAAAUCCAAUAGUUCAUUACCAGUUCACAAGUUAUUCCGUUUAGAGAGUAUUGGUAAUAUUGGUGAGCUUAUAUCCCAGUUGCGAAAA